rnacentral:rRNA from 1 species
AAACUUUCAACAACGGAUCUCUUGGCUCUGGCAUCGAUGAAGAACGCAGCGAAAUGCGAUACGUAAUGCGGAAUUGCAGAAUUCAGCGAGUCAUCGAAUCUUUGAACGCACAUUGCGCCCGCCCAGCAUCUGGCGGGCCAGCCUGUCCGAGCGUCAUUU